GGCGGGAGCCGCGGCUGCUGCCCUGCCUGCACUCCGUGUGCCGGCAAUGCCUGGGGGCCGCGCCGGGAGCCGUCGGCAGCGACGGGCAGGUGUUCGACUGCCCCGUGUGCCACCAGCAGUGUCCCCUGGGUGACAUCAUGGAGAACUUCUUCCUGCAGGACAGCGGGGCUAGCAGCGGGCAGAGCUGCACCAGCUGCGAGGACAACGCGGCGGCCACCAGCUUCUGCCUGGAGUGCGCGGAGCCGCUGUGUGACACCUGCGUGGAGGCGCACCAGAGGGUCAGGUACACCCGGGACCACACUGUGCGAGCCUUGGGUGAGUCCCUGUCACCCUGUGUCAUCUC